AAUGAACGUUGGCGGCAUGGAUUAGGCAUGCAAGUCGAGCGAGAAGGUUAUGAUUGACGCUUCGGUUGAUUUCAUAACUGGACAGCGGCGCAAGGGUGAGUAACGCGUAGUUAUCUGCCCGAGGGUUCGGGAUAGCCACGGGAAACUGUGGGUAAUACCGAAUAACAUCUCCGGAUCAAAGGUGUGAUUCCGCCCUCGGAGGGGACUGCGUUCUACUAGCUUGUUGGUGGGGUAAUGGCCUACCAAGGCUUUGAUGGAUAGCGGGCGUGAGAGCGUGGCCCGUCACACUGGGACUGAGACACUGCCCAGACACCUACGGGUGGCUGCAGUCGAGAAUCUUCGGCAAUGGGCGAAAGCCUGACCGAGCAAUGCCGCGUGCGGGAUGAAGGCCCUCGGGUUGUAAACCGCGAAAGUGAGGAGGAAGGGCCCGUGAAGAGCGGGUCUUGACCGAUACACAGUAAGGACGGGCUAAGUUCGUGCCAGCGCCGCGG
rnacentral:rRNA from 1 species